CGCGGGGUGGAGCAGUUUGGUAGCUCGUCGGGCUCAUAACCCGAAGGUCGGGGGUUCAAAUCCCUCCCCCGCUACCA
rnacentral:tRNA from 4 species